CCCCCUCCCCCCCCCGCCUCCACGCGUCGAGGGCUGCGGGUUGCCCGCGGAGCCUGGAGGAAGCCUCCACCUAGCGGAGCGCGGGGGAACGGCGGCUUUGGGGGGGGGUUUGGGGGAUUUUUGGGGGUCUCGGUGGUUUGGGGUGGAGGAGAUGGAGCCGUGCUUCGUGCCGCAAGGAAGGCUCCAUCCUAAUAAAUGGGCCAUCGCAGGGCCCUUUCCCCUCCCGCGGCCCCGGCGUGCAGGCAGGAGGCGCGGAGCCACGAGGCUGAGCCGUCUGCGGGGUCGGGGCACGCGUCCUGCACGGGGGCAAGGCGCGAGGCUCCCCAAGCCCCCGGCGUUUCAACAGCACCGGGAUCCCCGCGCCCCAGGAGCUGGCGAACGCUGGCACGUCGCUAAUUUAAGGCUGCCGAGCUUGCUCCGCCUGUGCCGCCCCCCGGGGUUUUGCGUUUUGCAGUAACAGCAGUGAUCGGAAGAAUAUUUGGGGCUGAGACAUCCAACGCGGUCCUCUGCGGGGCUGAGAGCACCACCGAAACCCCAAAGCAUCCCGAGGAAGCAGCCGCUGCAGGAGCCGUUCCCCCACGCUGCGAUGUUUGGAGGUUUCUAUGUAUGGGAGCUGGCCACCGAGCUGUCAGCGGUUGCCUCACCUUGUUAUGUGACGUGGAGCUGUGCGAGCCGUUCAGA